ACACAAAGAAUGUAAACACGGGGGUGGUAUAUGGUCGAGUGGUUGUUUAUGUUUAUAUGAAAGACUGCCAUUAGAAUUAAGAGUUGUGUAAGAUCGUGAAAUAUAUAAAGAAUGUUGUAAUUUUAUUUGUUGCUUCUAAUUAACGUAUUUGGCUUUAACGGAGGAGUGUUUUUACCCCAAGAUGUAUUUGGUGAUUCAAAAUUGCAAAGCAUUAUCGUUAUUUAUUUUAAAUUCACAUUUUCACAACGUCCGAUAGCUUGCUUUGAGGAGGGGGCUUCCAGAGAUGGCCAGUCUGCCGAGACAGUGGCAUUUUUGGUGGAAUACUGGCUACCAAAGCUGAUCGCCUUUUCCCAUCAAUAGCACUGCUGUCUCUCUGGAUACUUCUGGCAGGUCCUGGCCCCAAGGAUGUAACCUUGGACAUGAUUUUAACUUCCAGGCACCAGAUAAAGAACCUAAUUCCUAUUUUACAGCACAGUUAUAAAACUGCAAGAUCUUUUCAUGGCACGUCUGGAACAGGCUCCCUGCAGAGUUGCGAGACUCAGAAACAUUCUCCCCUUCAAACAUAAGGUUGCAAAAUACAUUGUUAAAUGUCGCUAGUGAUUCUACAACCACUUCCGCUUAUAUGAAUAUGUAAUGUUUAUAACCACUUGUAUAUCUGCGGUAUAUAUUCCUGUUUUAAGUUCUUGUAAUUUUAAAUUAGUAGUGCAAUUGUCUGGAGUUUUAGUUGCUAGGUUUAAGUUUAGGUUAGUAUAGUAUUAUAAGUUAAUGAAGUAUGAUUAUUUGUAGCUAUAUACUACUAUGGUUAAGGUAAGAGAGGGUUAAAAGUCGUAACUUCGCCACAAAAUCAGUAAAUAAAUUAUAACACAGCAGGCUACAUGUGUGCAUCAGCUGACUAGUAGUCUUUUGUUAAACAAUGCCUGCGCUUCAGAAUGGGCUGUCUUCGAGGUGACAAGCAACUGUUCGGCUGGCAAAGGAGGUUUAAUGGCAGAAGAAAGGAAGACACGGGGUUGCAGUGAUUUGCAAAUAUAAUAAUUAGGUUAGCAUUCUUUUGUUGAGAGACUUAUGUAUAAUACAAUUAAAAAAACUAGUACGUAAAUACUAGUGAAUAAAUAGGCACAUUCAGUAAGGGGUGGCUCUGUGCCUAGCAGGGCAUCAUGCCGGCCAUUUCCAUAUCUGUUUCCUUUGCUUGUCAAGUUUUAUUGAAAAAAUAUUUACAAACAUUAAUGAAAAUAUGAAAACAUAAUUGUUGUUGCAAGUAAUUUAACAUGAAGGUCAAUCAAUACCUUAUCAAUUUUAAAUGAGUGUUCAUUAAUUCAAUGUUAUAAAAACGUUCUUAAAUUUGUAGCCUCAGACAAUGCACAUAAUCCCAGAAUUUCAAUGUCAGCAUUUUAAAACUUACCCCAGUACAACUAACCAUGAAAGACUUUAGAUAUUUUUAAAGAUAAAUUACAAAAAAUUUACAUUAUCAUCAUCCCCCCCCCCCCCCCCCCCAAAAAAAAAAAAAAGCUCCAUUUUCUCUGAGGGCUCUUCCAUACCCACCAGGCUUACUGCUUGGAUUCCUCUCCAGGCCUUGCCAAAGUAAGUGACUCAGAACCCCCGAAAGUCCAUGGUCACUACCGAGUCUAACCGAUAAUCUUUCCCUCCCUCGUCCUCCCCCCUCCUCUAUUUUCCUGCUGCAAGAAACUGCUGGUUAGGACUGAAUGGGUUUUGCUCUUUAAAUGUUUAAACGUUGUAUUUUUACCAUUGUUGCAGUGGUAUGGCUAUAUUAUUUACCAAUACCGGACCAUCUAAAUAAUAAAAUACAGUGAAAUAAUGAGAUUAAAUGGAACCUCAAGUGAUUGAUCCAUUUUUACUCAACUCAGUUUGUUGAAUGAGAGGGCCACCAGUUGUUUUAAAUACAAUCAAAAGAAAUUGAUUUAAGUAAAAAUACAAAACUUUCUUGCUUUAAAAAAUUAGUAGUUUUGUUUGCUCCACUGAAUUUCAGGAAAAACAUUUUCUAACAAUUUUUUUUUCAUAUAAAAACUCACAUCUACAUUGUCAAUUUUAAUGAGAAAAUUAUAUCUUAUUUUAUAUUAACAUUUUGUAAAUAUUUAAUUUAGAAAAGCAAUAAUUCAAUUUCCAAAACAUUAUGUACAAACAGUUCUUACACAAAAAAAACUACACAAAUAUUAUCAAAUACAAAUGCAUGGGAUGCUGUGUAUAAACAAAACAUUAACAAAUAAACACAAAUAUUAUCAAAUACAAAUGCAUGUGAUGCUGUGUACAAACAAUACAUUCACAAAUAAACACAAAAAUUAUCGAAUACAAAUGCAUGUGAUGUUGUGUACAAACAAUACAUUCACAAAUAAACACAAAAAUUAUCAAAUAAUACAAAUGCAUGUGAUGCUGUGUACAAACAAUACAUUCACAAAUAAACACAAAAAUUAUCAAAUACAAAUGCAUGUGAUGCUGUGUACAAACAAUACAUUCACAAAUAAACACAAAAAUUAUCGAAUACAAAUACAUGUGAUGCUGGUCUGGGAGCUACUCUAGAACAAAAUUUUGCGACCUACGUUUUUUGGGUUUUCUUCUUAGGGGAAUGGAUUUGUAUUUUUUCUUUAUAUUUUUUACAGAUCUUAGUUUAUGGUUUGGCUGGUUUUCUGGCAAUAAAAGAGGCAGGCCACAUAAAAUUGGUUGCAAUAGUCUCAUUUUCUGAUUCUGCUGCUGGCGUAAUGAUAUUGUCUCUUGUAAGACUUCAGUGUUGGUGCACAUGUAUGACAAAUCCAUUGCAAUUUUUGCAUGUUCACGAAGCAUCUUCUGCAUGUCCCUGACAUCACUUUCACUGCCUGAUUGUUAAUUUGAAUGUAUUACAGGCUCAGCCUGAUCAGUAUUUUGCUUGUUUGGAUUUUUUUCUGAAGGAAGUUCAGUAGUGUCUGUAUUGCUAUGAGUGUAAUAGCUGUGUUUGGCAUCUAAAGUAAUGCACGGAUGAUUUUUGUAUGCUGCAUUCAUUUUAUCAAAGUCCCAUGAUGGCACAAACUGAAACACAGCACACAUAUGUUUGCAGGGUAGUCUGUGCAUUAUAAAAUCUUGGCAGGUACAUGUAGCUUCAUCAAAGUUUACUAUGUAAAACUGAUUGGCAUUAUUUGACUGUGGAACUCCAAACAGUCCUUCAGAAAUUUCCUCAAUACUGCUGCUGUUGUACUCAGUUUCAGCUGUAGUAAGUCUUGGUAAAACGUGUUUUAUAAAACUUUCUGGUCUAUUAUGGAGGUAUUUUGGAAUUUGAGGGUUGUACAAUUUCGGUGUGGUAUUUUUUAAGCAAUACUUUUUGUACGAGUCAGGAAGAUAACUUUUGAUGACUGUUGUUAGCAUGGCUGUAAGGGAUUUUGCAGAAUUGUGAUACAAGUAAGAGUAUUUCAGGACUCUGUUCUGGCUUUCUACACCAUUUGUGGUAUUGAUCACAACAGCAUAGUCUUUUUCACGAAAUGCCUGAACCCAUCGAUAAGCUACAGAGAGCCAUUGUGUUGAAAAAUACUGUUCAGCUUUUGGAUUUUUUUUCAUGAUAUCACUGUUUUUCAAGCUAUUCACUUGAAUAUGAAAUUGUUCUUUUGUUGAUGAGUUUGCAACAUUACGCCAUAAAUUUAAAAUGUCUUGUGGAUCUCCAGAAACUGAAUUUUCAGUUUUUCUUAACCAUCUUUGCCAUGCCUGUUCUCUGUGAAAUGCGCACAAAUAUACAGUGGAAUCUGGAAAUGUGUUUUCGAUAGCAGAUAUUUCAGCUUCGCUAAAAUCAGUCAUCCAAAAUUUUGCCUUCCAGUCCGGUAACCACUCUUUAAAAAUACUUAGAGCCUCUUGAAUCAAACGAGUACUCUCUGCUUGGAUGACAAAUGUUCCCACUACACUGUAUCCAACAUUAGUUUUUACGGCCAGAAAAAAUAAAGGAAUAGAAUAUUUUGUUAUUUUGUAGGUCGCAUCCAAUAAACAUACUUGGCCAUAAUGCCGAAGUAAGUCUUUCUGCCAUUGUGUUUGGUGACAGAAAAGCAAGGUAACAUCAGAGCCAUUCUCCAUCUCUUCAUAGGCUCUAUAAAAAAAAACUGUCAUCAGGAUUUGUAGCUUUCCAAUCCUCCAAAGUUUUUUGCAAGGCUUCUUGGUCAAUGGUUGUUUUAUUCUUUUCAUAAAUUGUUCUGUAUAUGUGACCAUAUAUUACUGAGUCACUGGGGAAGAAGCCACUGUUCUUUUGGUCAGGGUAAUUUUGACAAUUACCAAAUUGUUUCUCAAUGUGCUGAGAGAGCAGCAUUUUUACAUCUCGUACAGAUGUUAUGCCACUGCCUACUAUUCUUUUUAUUUCAUUCGUGAUGCUUUGGUCCAGUCUUUGACAAAUUUCUGUUGAAGCAGUUGUGUGCGUGUGGCUUGUUUCUGUGCUGGCCUUGAUGUAAAAACGCAAGUGACCUUCAGCUGGUGGUGUUUGUGUCAAUGCUUCCCUGAGAUUCUGUAAAGCCUGAAAAAAUAAUGUAAAGAAAAGUUUAGAAUCCAGUGCAAAUGUAAAGUAUGCAUGUAAGCAACUUGUACAAAUAUCAUUGCAUAAUUUAUUUCCAUUAUAAUUGAAAUGACUGUACUAUUUAAAAUACCCUUAUUACUUACGUACUUGUGUUAUAUAUACCUUUUUGUUUAUUUUUUAUGUACUUCAUUUUACUGAAAAUACAUGUUAGUGAAUACUCUUGUACAAAAAUGUGUGUUAAAAAUGUAUGUGUGGAUGUCAAAUUAUAUUAAUCAUGUUUGUUUUUACCAAAUACACAGUAGGUAUGUACUGGUUUGAAUCAUACCAAACUAGGUAAAUAAAUAAAUAAUAAAAA